rnacentral:rRNA from 1 species
AUUGAACGCUGGCGGCAUGCCUUACACAUGCAAGUCGAACGGCAGCACGGGUGCUUGCUCCUGGUGGCGAGUGGCGAACGGGUGAGUAAUACAUCGGAACAUGUCCUGUAGUGGGGGAUAGCCCGGCGAAAGCCGGAUUAAUACCGCAUACGAUCUACGGAUGAAAGCGGGGGACCUUCGGGCCUCGCGCUUUAGGGUUGGCCGAUGGCUGAUUAGCUAGUUGGCGGGGUAAAGGCCUACCAAGGCGACGAUCAGUAGCUGGUCUGAGAGGACGACCAGCCACACUGGGACUGAGACACGGCCCAGACUCCUACGGGAGGCAGCAGUGGGGAAUUUUGGACAAUGGGCGAAAGCCUGAUCCAGCAAUGCCGCGUGUGUGAAGAAGGCCUUCGGGUUGUAAAGCACUUUUGUCCGGAAAGAAAUCCUUGGCCCUAAUACGGUCGGGGGAUGACGGUACCGGAAGAAUAAGCACCGGCUAACUACGUG